rnacentral:rRNA from 1 species
GCGCGAAACCUUUUCAAUGCACGCAAGUGUGAGAAGGGAAUUCCAAGUGCUCAAGUUUUACUUGGGCUUUUGCCAAGUGUAAAAAGCUUGGCGAAUAAGGGGUGGGUAAGACUGGUGCCAGCCGCCGCGGUAACACCAGCGCCUCGAGUGGGGAUCGCGAUUAUUGGGUCUAAAGCGUCCGUAGCAGGCCUUGUAAAUGCUUUGUGAAAUUGUCUGGCUUAACCAGACAGCGUGCAGAGUAGACUGCAGGGCUCGAGACCGGGAGAGGUUAGCAGUAUUCCUAGGGUACCGGUAAAAUGGGUUAAUCCUAGGAGGACUACCAAUGGCGAAGGCAGCUGACCAGAACGGUUCUGACUGUGAGGGACGAAAGCUAGGGGAGCAAAACGGAUUAGAUACCCUUGUAGUCCCUGAGCGGGCUGGCAAGGCGCAU